rnacentral:rRNA from 1 species
GACGAACGCUGGCGGCGCGCCUAACACAUGCAAGUCGAACGGAGCAAAGAGGAGCUUGCUUUUCUUUGCUUAGUGGCGAACGGGUGAGUAACGCGUGAGUAACCUGCCCUGGAGUGGGGGACAACAGUUGGAAACGACUGCUAAUACCGCAUAAGCCCACGGAGCCGCAUGGCUCUGAGGGAAAAGGAUUUAUUCGCUUCAGGAUGGACUCGCGUCCAAUUAGCUAGUUGGUGAGGUAACGGCCCACCAAGGCGACGAUUGGUAGCCGGACUGAGAGGUUGAACGGCCACAUUGGGACUGAGACACAGCCCAGACUCCUACGGGAGGCAGCAGUGGGGAAUAUUGCACAAUGGGGGAAACCCUGAUGCAGCGACGCCGCGUGGAGGAAGAAGGUCUUCGGAUUGUAAACUCCUGUUGUUGAGGAAGAUAAUGACGGUACUCAACAAGGAAGUGACGGCUAACUACGUG